rnacentral:rRNA from 1 species
UACGUAGGGUCCGAGCGUUGUCCGGAAUUAUUGGGCGUAAAGGGCUCGUAGGCGGUUUGUCGCGUCGGGAGUGAAAACCCAGGGCUUAACCCUGGGCUGGCUUCCGAUACGGGCAGACUAGAGGUAUGCAGGGGAGAACGGAAUUCCUGGUGUAGCGGUGAAAUGCGCAGAUAUCAGGAGGAACACCGGUGGCGAAGGCGGUUCUCUGGGCAUUACCUGACGCUGAGGAGCGAAAGUGUGGGAGCGAACAGG